rnacentral:rRNA from 1 species
CCUACGGGAGGCAGCAGUCGAGAAUCAUUCACAAUGGGGGAAACCCUGAUGGUGCGACGCCGCGUGGGGGAAUGAAGGUCUUCGGAUUGUAAACCCCUGUCAUGUGGGAGCAAAUUAAAAAGAUAGUACCACAAGAGGAAGAGACGGCUAACUCUGUGCCAGCAGCCGCGGUAAUACAGAGGUCUCAAGCGUUGUUCGGAAUCACUGGGCGUAAAGCGUGCGUAGGCUGUUUCGUAAGUCGUGUGUGAAAGGCGCGGGCUCAACCCGCGGACGGCACAUGAUACUGCGAGACUAGAGUAAGGGAGGGGGAACCGGAAUUCGCGGUGUAGCAGUGAAAUGCGUAGAGAUCGAGAGGAACACUCGUGGCGAAGGCGGGUUCCUGGACAUUAACUGACGCUGAGGCACGAAGGCCAGGGGAGCGAAAGGGAUUAGAUACCCGAGUAGUC